UCAUGAUACGAAUAGUUAAAAGCAGUAUUUCAUUUAUAUUUAGUAUAACACAAGAUCAAGUCCACAUCCAUUUUAGUGCAAAUCGAUACAAGAAUAAUGACAUCAAUUAUUUUUGGACUUCCGACCUAAUUGUGUUGCCAUUUCUUCCUUUUCUUUGGACCAACAUAUGCAUCUGUGAAACCAACAACUCGUUCUCAGUACGUCAGGACAAACGCCACUACAAUCGUUCACAUUAUGACAUUUAGUCUUUGCUUCCACCAUAAAGGAUGGAAUAUCUGCAACUAUAUCAAGAAAAUUGUAAUCAAUUUAUCAAAUAUGAACGCCACUACUACAACAACAACAAUCCAGUAUAAUCUCACUUAGCGGGGUCUGGGGAAAGUAGUAAUGUACGCAGACUUUAACGCUACCCUUGGGUAGAUAGGCUGUUUCCAAAUAGACCCCCGGCAUUCUUCCCUUCAAUAACAUCCCACCUUGCUCUUGGGGAGAUUCGAACUCACAACCUCUCGGUUGGAAGUGGGGGUUGCUUACCAUCAGAGAAACCCCUCUUGUCAUAUGAACGCCACUACAAUCGUUCAUAUUUUAUUAUCUACUUAUUCCACACCUACAUAUGAUUAUUACUAUUCGUUUUUCUCUUUGCUCUAAGAUAUUACAGUAAAAAAAUAAUAUUAAAUGAAAUGGCUAUGAAGGGAUUGGAAUAAGAAAAAGAAACAAACCCAAGAUAAUCAGCAACAAAGCAACAAAGAAAGGAGACUUCAUAAGAGCCUUGGCCAUAUUUUAUCUCUACUACUGCACUUUGUAAAGAGGACAAUAUUAG
rnacentral:lncRNA from 1 species